UCCACUUCUUUUGAAAAAUAGAAAAGAAUAGAGAUGAUGGUAACACUUCCCUGUUGAUGAUAUUGGUAGAAGUUCUAAUGCACUUAAACAAUAGGAUCCACGUAAAAAUAAGGAUUACCUACCAUAACAAAUUUGUAUAAUAUAAUUUUGAAUUAUACGGAAAAAAAAAAAAAAAGAGAGAUUUUACAGAGUUAAUUUAAGCCAAGGAAAAAAAUGCAAUAUCUUCACAACUGCAUCAACUAUACAGGGACAUACACUAUUAUAAAUUAAACAGAAUAAAAUCAAACAGGAAAACGAUUCAUGUUAAAUUUCUUUCUUUUGCUACUAGAGAGUUUGAACAUGUAUAACUGCGACCUUUUCACCGAACACCCAUUUCUAGCUUCUUAAUUUCCACGAUUAGAGUGCAUUGGAACUCAAGAUUCUACCGUGAAUUGAAUCGAUUUGUAACACCAAUCCAAACAAAGGUUUAGGUGCAGCAAAUGGUCAAAGAAAGCCUUUGUAAUUGUUAAACUCUCCCCACACUGUCAUUUCAACUUCUUCCCAUGACUCUGAUGAACUCAGUUCUUCCCAUAAGCUAAAAAUAGCUCCCAAGACAUUAUCAUCAUACAAAAUACAAUGACAUUGACAAACAAAUAAAGAAAUUCAAAUGAGUAAAAAAACAAUAACUGCAUAAUCCGUGAAAACCUUAAAGUCAAGGGAACAAGACAAAACACUGUUUGUAAGGGCACAAAAGAUUGCCUCGUCUAACUAUACUGUAUAACUCAGAGUCACAGUCAACACAAUAUUUAGGCAAUGUUGGAAAUCUAAUGAUAGGUGAAAUGGAUUUUCAUAAAAAGAUAAAGGUUCUAGGGGAUGAUGUUAUUUAGAAUGGAAUAGAAUUACUUAUCAUUGAAAAUUUUGAAAUGGAAUUUUCUUCUUUCAGAAGCGAACGAAAUAGUACGACUAAUAACUUCAUCGUUGUGGUUUUAUAUACACCCCAAAACGAGAUAAGAAAGAUAGAGAGGUAUUCAAUCAUUCCACUUCAUCGUAUCAAACAAUCACAAUUAAUGUCAUUAAAUUAAUCCAAACAUAAACAAGUAGGCCAAAAGAAAAAGUCAGUAAAUUUCGGAUUUGGAUCUUCUAAAGUGAGCUAAAGUGGAAAAAUCAAAGAUUAUUAUUCUAGCAAACUCGUGAUUGAUUAAUUAAAGAUCCAUAAAUCUCAACUGUACAAAGAUCAGUUGAUUUUCAAUUUCAGCAUAAAGCAGCCAAAUAAUUUCACAUGAGUGCAGAACAAAGUCGUAGUUGCUUCAACAAAAUCAAAAGUGAUUAUCAAUUGUAAACAAGAACUAGUAUCCAUUUAUUAGAAUUGGGGCUUCCCGCCUAACUCAACCCCAAAAAUAAGUUCAAAAGGUGAGGAUUGCUCGGGUCUUACAAGGACUACUUUGAGAAUAUCUCUUGUUGAAGUAAAGACCUAAACACACCCACAAUGCCUAGAACUAGACAUAUGAAGUGUGGACAAAGAACAAUUAACAACUUAUCACACUUAGAACUAGGGCUGUGCAAAAAAUCCGGUUAUAAUGCCAAAAUCUCAAACCGGAUCCAAAUCCAUUUUAAAUAUUCGGUUAAAAUCAUAUGGUUAUAAUUCGGUUUAUUUAUAAACUGGUUGGAUAACCACUUAUGUUUUAUAUUUGGAUUUGGUUUUUAUCCACUAUCAAUAUUUUGUUAAUUUUUAGAUUUUAUUUCUUGAAAACAAUUUAAAAUUCAUUUUUUUUGAAAAAAUAUCGGAAAGAAAUAAAAAAAGAAAAUAUUUUUUUCUCAGAAAAAUUUUAAAUCGAUUUUUUUCUCAAAAAAUUUGAUGAGAAAUAUUUUGAAAAAAUUUAUCCAAAAAAUCAAUUUUUUUAAAUAACCGAUUUUUAAACUAUGAAUAAAUGAUAUUGUAAAAAAUAAAUAUUAAAAACAAUCAAACUUUAACCGAUUUUGAAAAAAAAAAUCAAUUUUAAAAUUAAAAUUUUCAAAUCUAGUUGCUUAAUUAUAAACCGGUUAUUUAACCAUAACUAAUUUUACAAUUGGUUUUAUAACCGCUUUUAAACCAAAUAAUGGAUUUAAUUAUAAAUCUAUAUCUAUAUAUUGGUUUUAAAAUUAAUAUGGUUUGAUUUUUAAAAAAAACCAACCAUGCACAAUAGAUUUGGUUAUAAAUCUAUAUCUAUAUAUUGUUUUAAAAUGGAUAUGGUGAACUGAACAUCUAGUGCAAAGACAAACAUGGCUGGCCAAUUGUAGAUCUAAGAUAAACUCUAACACCAUAUUAGAAUUUGAUCUUUAGGUCUUAAUCAAACCCAAAAGCUAGCUCAAGAGAUGAAGAUUGCUCAAAUCUUAUAAGGACUAUUUUUAGCAUAUCUCUAGGAUUCGGGUUCUCAACAACAUUGAUCAGCAUCUAUGGAUACUAGGUUUCAAUUGUAAAUCAAUACAUCUACGAAAUAUCGAAACCAUAAAAAAAAACAUGGCGAAAAUUUAUAAUAACAUUUAACUUGACUGGGUAGUGUGCAACAAUCUUCUCAAGUCUCAACUAUUACCGAGUUAGGAGAGCGUGACUGAUUUCCCUAGAGUUUGAUAGAACACUAAUUUAAGUAGAAGAAAAUAACAUUAAAUAACACCAAAUUACAUAUAUUAAAGCAAUAACUUGCUGUCUCAGAGUUCUGCAACUCCUACAGAGUUCAUCUCUGUUCAUGAAACGGCCAAUACCUACAUAACUGCCCUUGAAACCUAUCCCACUAAUAAAUACCACUAAUAUUUCAUAAACUGCCACUUUGCAGUUAUUAAAACAAAACAACUACCACAUAUAGUUAUUAAAAUUAAUUCCAACACAGUAAUUAUUAAAACUAAUGGAGUGUUUGUUUCCCGGAUACAAAAUUCAUUCCUAGGAUAGUUAGUCCAAGGAAUAUGAUGGAGGGAAUUUUAUUUCUAAGCUUUUGCAAAAAAUGUGUUUGGUUAGUGUUUUAAAUUCUCGGGUACUUUUCAUUUUAAAUUUCUAUCAAAUUAAUAGUGCAUUUUUUUUUAUCAUAAGUGAAUGUACUACUCUCCCCAUCCCAAGAAAAGUUUCGUUUUUGCUCAUUUCACACAUAUUAAUACAUAAUUUUAUAGAUAAAAGAGAAAGAAUAAUAAUUUUAUAAAUAAAAGAGAAAGAAUAAUAAUUUUAUCAAAUUAUCUUUCUUAACAAUUGAAGUAUAUUUUUGUUAGUAUAAAUAGAAAGUAGAAUAUAAUACUUUGAAAAAAUAUACAUGAUAUUAAUAAGAGAGUACAAUUUUAGUUCAGUUUUCAAUUUUUGGCUUUGAAUUACAAUUCUUAGUUGAGUUUACCUAUCUCAUCAUGAAUUAUCCAAAUAUAAAGUAAAUAUAAUUAAAAAUGAAAAAAAAUUAUUAAAUUUUAAUUAUUUUAAAGUAUUGUAAAGUUAUAAUUUAUUUAAUUAUAAUAAUUUAAGUAAUAGCGGUUGAAAAUGGUAGUUGUGGAAGGUGGCUAUCAUAGUAGUGAUCGAUCGUCGAAGUUUGCUGUAGUAGUCAAAAGAGAUAGUUGAUAUUGGAGAUGGUGGUAGGUGGGUGACAAUCGGUGACUGUAGUGAUGGACAGUGUUGGAAGAUGGUGGGUGGUCGGUGGUGGUGAUGGGUGUCGGAGAUGGUGGUAGUUGUGGUUGGAGGUGGGUGAUCGGCGGUGAUGGCGGGUGUCGGAGAUGGUGAUCGGUGGUGGUGCUUAUAGAGGUGGGUGGUAGGUGGUCGAAGAUGGUGUAGCGGUUGUCAAAGGUGGAUGGUGGGUGGUGCUGGCAGUGACCGGAGGUGGGUGGGUGAUGAUGAUGGAGGUGAUUGGGGAGACGAUGGUGGUUGCUGGUGAUGGGAGAUGGUGGUUGGAGGUCACUCGUGGUGAGAGAUGGGCGGCAAGUGGCUGAAAUUAAGUAAAACAACUCAACCCCAUUUUACCAAAUUUUAUUUUGAAAUUAACUUUCAAAACCAAAAACUCACGACAACUCCAAAUUUCAAAACCAAAAAUUUAUAACCACCCCAAACAGGGUCUAACUUUUGUAGACUAAGUUCUGUAAAAUAGACUUCUAGAGUCUAGCCAGUAAGUCUAUGUGGAUUUGGGUCUGCAGCCUUAUCAGAGUCACCGGUAAUUAGGUAUAUUAGUUCAUAUUUUCAUAUAAAUCCAUCUAUUUCAAAUUGAAAUACUUCAUGUCGAUAAGAAAUUAGUUAUGUAAGAGAAUUAUGGAGAGUGUCACUUACAUGCAACAUAUGAAAGUCAACCAAACUUUUGACCACCCCAAACAGGGUCUAACUUUUGUAGACUAAGUUCUGUAAAAUAGACUUCUAGAGUCUAGCCAGUAAGUCUAUGUGGAUUUGGGUCUGCAGCCUUAUCAGAGUCACCGGUAAUUAGGUAUAUUAGUUCAUAUUUUCAUAUAAAUCCAUCUAUUUCAAAUUGAAAUACUUCAUGUCGAUAAGAAAUUAGUUAUGUAAGAGAAUUAUG
rnacentral:lncRNA from 1 species